rnacentral:rRNA from 1 species
UGGUCUAAUACCUUAUAGUAUCCAUCUCGUAUGGAUUAAAGCUUUAUGCGCUUUGGGAGGGGCCUGCGUUUGAUUAGCUAGUUGGUGAGGUAAAAGCUCACCAAGGCGACGAUCAAUAGCUGGUUUGAGAGGAUGACCAGCCACACUGGGACUGAGAUACGGCCCAGACUCCUACGGGAGGCAGCAGUAAGGAAUCUUCCACAAUGGGGCAACCCUGAUGGAGCAAUACCGCGUGCAGGAUGAAGCGUUUCGGCGUGUAAACUGCUUUUAUCACCGAAGAUUAUGACUGUAGGUGAAGAAUAAGGACCGGCUAACUACGUG